UAUUCUGAGAUCAGACAAUAAUCCAUGAUUUUCUCUUCCAUUAAGAUAUAGUCAUUAAAUUACACCAAACACCCUAGUCACUCUUCAACAUCUUCAGAACAAGAGAAUACACAAUUUAAAGAAGGAGAAAGUGUAUUGACCUCGGGGUGCCUACAAAUGUGGAGGGCACUGUGGAAGCACAAGCUCUUGUGCAAGCCCCAACAACACCAGGAAGUGCAAACUGCAUGGGUGCUGCUGUUUGUCAAACUCCAAGUUUAGUCUGCAUAUCAUCCUGUUGCAGCUUUUGCCAGUUUCAUGGCUGAUAUUGUAGUAGUGCCAUUUUACACUAACAGAAAUGUGUUAUAUCGGUAGGCUAAGUCAAUUGAAACAGGGUUACUGUUCCACAGGUGUUUUCACAUGUUGUGCCUAUCAUACCUCAUACACCCAGUGAAUCUACACUGAACUAGUAUUUCCAUACAACAUGCAAACAAAUCUGUUAUAAGCAAAUGUUGAGUUCCUGUGCUUUCUUCUGACAAGUUCCUUAGUUACUUCUUCAGAAGAGAAAGAUGUUACUACAUGCAACCAAACAACCCAUUAUGCAGUGGACUCUUUAGACUACCAAUUCAAAUCAAACGGGCACAGGAGGGAGUGAUGUUUAUUACACUGGUCAAUGACUGGACGCUUAAUGUUUCAGUUCAAGACAAAGAGAAACAUGUUGAUGACUUCUAUCACAGUAAAAUUUUCACUUGGGAGACUCACAGGAACGCUAUGCACCUGGAAAAGAUAAGACAUUUAGGGAGUUACGAUGGAGCUCCUGACUGAAGGUCAUUCUCAUGUGUUUUGAUCUGCUUGUUAAA